rnacentral:misc_RNA from 1 species
GAUGAAGAACGCAGCGAAAUGCGAUACUUGGUGUGAAUUGCAGAAUCCCGUGAACCAUCGAGUCUUUGAACGCAAGUUGCGCCCGAAGCCACUAGGCCGAGGGCACGCCUGCCUGGGCGUCACACGUCGUUGCCCCCCCCCAUCUACUCCUUCGGGAUUGCGGGGGGCGGAUGAUGGCCUCCCGUGCGCCUAGCCGCGCGGUCGGCAUAAAUACCAAGUCCUCGGCGACGCACGCCACGACAAUCGGUGGUUGCGAAACCUCGGUUGCCCGUCGUGUGCGUUCGUCGCGCAUCGAGGGCUCGAAAAAAUGCUCGGCUCCGGCUCGGCUUUCAACGCGACCCCAGGUCAGGCGGGGUUACCCGCUGAAUUUAAGCAUAUCAAUAAGCGGAGGA